GAUGAACGCUGGCGGCGUGCCUAAUACAUGCAAGUCGAGCGAACAGACGAGGAGCUUGCUCCUCUGACGUUAGCGGCGGACGGGUGAGUAACACGUGGAUAACCUACCUAUAAGACUGGGAUAACUUCGGGAAACCGGAGCUAAUACCGGAUAAUAUAUUGAACCGCAUGGUUCAAUAGUGAAAGACGGUUUUGCUGUCACUUAUAGAUGGAUCCGCGCCGCAUUAGCUAGUUGGUAAGGUAACGGCUUACCAAGGCAACUAUGCGUAGCCGACCUGAGAGGGUGAUCGGCCACACUGGAACUGAGACACGGUCCAGACUCCUACGGGAGGCAGCAGUAGGGAAUCGUCCGCAAAGGGCGAAAGCCUGACGGAGCAACGCCGCGUGAGUGAUGAAGGUCUUCGGAUCGUAAAACUCUGUUAUUAGGGAAGAACAAAUGUGUAAGUAACUAUGCACGUCUUGACGGUACCUAAUCAGAAAGCCACGGCUAACUACGUG
rnacentral:rRNA from 1 species